GCCGCGGUAGCUCAGCCGGUAGAGCAGAGGACUGAAAAUCCUUGUGUCGGCGGUUCAAUUCCGUCCCGCGGCACCA
rnacentral:tRNA from 1 species